GCCCGAGCUCUGCGGACGGACUGACACCGGCGCAGCAGCGGCACCUGGAUGGGGAGAGCUGCACAGACUGGCAGAAAUAUCAAAGGGGAUUACACUUUAACCCAGUGCCUUCCUGAACAUUCCUAAGGCUGCAACAGUGUUCUCCAGCCUUGUCUAUAUGGAUUUCAAAAGCUCUGUGUCUCCAAGUAACGCUUCAGCAUCCUUUGUGAUGGGAUCCCUUGUGUGUGAGCAUCAUCGUCAAUCUCUAAGAAAAGUUUUUUUUUUUUAACUUUCAGUAUUUGUGAAGAGAUUGCUAGAUCUCUGUUCAGAGCUUCUCUGGGUGCAGAACUACUCCACUGAAAAGAUCGGUGAGCAAAGCCACUGUAAAAUAUGGCUUAUAUUGAGGUCCUGUACUGUGUACUGAGGAGUGGGCAUUUAAACCAAUCUCCAUUGUAACAGAAUUGAUGAAAAGCACCUGCUGUCAGAUUCUCUGGUGGUAUAAAUCAGCAGACCUCUAUUAAUUUCAGUGGAGCUGCAGGAUGCUGAUUUGUACCAGCUGAGGAUCUGGCCCCUGAAUUUUUGUGAGUUCAGGUUCUGCAGACAGAUGAGUAUGGUCUGACAACACUGUAUUGCAACUCAUAUACUGCCACAUCAUGCCCAGAGAAUCCUGUGCUUUGGGAUCCCAUUCCGAAAGAGGGGGAGAAGCUUGGAUUCUGGUUAUGAUUCUUUAUAGUAAGAAGGAAGAAGAUAAACUUCUCUUGAUGCAUCUAUGCUUAAAUCCAGUCUUCCAACCAUGAGGUUAAAUUCUGUGUUCCUUAUUCAGACAAAACUCUCUUUGAGGUUUACGGAAUUAAGAGCUACAGAAUUUAUCUAAGAACUGUUGGAUCAUACCCCAUUUCUGACCUCAAAAACUUUUUACUUUUAUUCUUGAAUUUUAUUUUUGUAGAGAUUGUUUCCUGCACGAAAAUGUGGGAUGGUUUUGUGAUGUGGAAAAAUGUUUACUGAGACUAGUUUAAAAUGACAUAUGCUAUUCCUUGCCUUUGUGAUCUAAGCCAAAUUUGAACCCAGGUAUUCUUUCCUCAUUUGAACACAGACAUUAUCUUGUUCUACAAUCUAAUCACUUAUACUCUUGUAUAACUUGUGCUGGAAGCACACUCUGGUAUUUUGGCUCUGAAAUGAUUUCAUUGUUAGGCUGAGGGUGACACAGAUGGUAAAAUUCUUUUUAUGAUUCUUGCAAUUUCAUACUUAUUUCAUUAGCUCAUUAUUUAUAUUAAAGGGACAUCAUCAACUUGAAAUCUGCUUAGUUUAAAAAACAAAAAAAGAUUGAGAGUAGUUUUAAGUACCUGCCUCGCAAUCUGCCAGUUUUUGUGGAUUCAGUACCACAUGUUUUUAUUUUAAAAAAUGUUUUUGUAUCCCUAGCUGCUGUGUGACAGAUUCACACAAACAACAAGGAGAGAGUCUCAUUUAAGUGAUUAUAGGUGAGAAGCAGUGAAACUGACUAUGUGCAAAGUGCUGUGAAAUGCACAAAGUAAAGAAAAUGAAGAAGAUAAAAAUAAUUUCUUUUUGCCAAUCUCUUUUAGUUAGACUAAUGUUAGGUGUUACUUGUAAUAGCAGCAGGGAAACAAUUUUCAGAUAGAAAUGUGCUUUCUAUCCAAAACUGUCUCUUUAGUACACAAAUAUAGCUAUUAAAUAAACAUUAAUUUACUCAUUCAGAUCAAUAAUCAGAACCAGGAGUGAACCAAACCAUAACUUUAUUUUCCCAUUAAAUAUGGUGCGAUUUAAAAUAAAUUCAGAUAGCCCUAAUCAUUCAGCCCCAUAUGCUGGAAAUGAAAAGUCACCUUAAACUCGAUGCAGACUGAAAAAAUGGGAACAGAGAUGUUCAAAAGAUACAGCAUAUGAGGACAGAUCCUCAGAUGGUGUAAAUCCAUGCUGCUCUCUUGAAGUCAACAAAGCUAUGCUGAUUUACCCCAGUUGAGGUCCUGGCCUGUCAUUUUAAAGUCCCAGAUGUUAUAGUGAGUUUGUCCAUGGGGUCAUAUACUGAUCAUGUUCAUUAAGGUAAAGUGGUGAAUGUGAUAUUUUUCAUUUUAAUCAGAACAAGAGAAGUAAAUGCUGUCAGGAAAAAUCUAGUUUGAGGAUUUUGUUUUCCCGAAAACUGGGGUCUGUUGGCCUGAAUUGUAUGGGGUUUUUGUUUUGUCCUGUCUGUGUUCAGUGGGCUGAAUCCUCCUCUGACUGACGUCCCUUGCAACCCCAUAAUUUUGAUGUCUGACAGGUCUGUUUUAAUCUGUUUAAUCUGUUGGAACUCCCACAUCAGGAUCUGUAGAAGAUUUUUCUUUCUGUCCCCUGUCUGAGGUGCAGACUCUAUUGUCUAUGUGUUGAGGAGCAGGGUUCCACUGUGUUAGAAAAUCUUUUUGCUUCAGGCCCAAGGAAAAAGUGAUAAAGAAUUAAAAGGGAGGGACUAUAGCUAUGGUUAGUACUGAAUGCUGCUACUAUUGCACCCUAUGCACUCAGCAAAUAUUUAGCCUCAUAGCAACAAGCAGCUUUUUUUUUUUUUUUUUUUUAAAUUUCCAAACUUAAAGGGUAGAUUGUAUCUGGCCACUGCAUGUUUACACAAGUGUAGGGGAGGGCAUGAAAAGUCUUCACUGCUCUCAUUCAGUGGCUGGGAACAACUGUCCCUAACAGCAGGGACAACUGCUCCCUUCUAGAGCUCCGAGGCACUAGCUACCCCAAAAGAGAGGGGAAAAGAGGAGAUAGGGUUAAGUACCUCAUCCCUGCACAUGCAUGCAAGCAAGGGCAUGCUGCACCUCUUUAAAGGCUGUAGUGGAGAUAUGCUCUCCUUGUAGAACAGUGUUUCAGAGUAGCAUCCGUAAAAAUAAUAGGUUUGCCUACACAAUGCCUUCUGUGCUCUCCUGGGGGAAAUAAAGCUGUGCAAAGCCCUUUACACAGGGCAGUGCCUAUCAGGUCCAGCAGCACUCUAAGACUGUUUUGGAAUGCACACUCAGGAGAGAGCGAGCUCAAGUUGUGCUGGGGGUCAUCUGUAACUCUGGUAUUUCCUGGUGUUGCAGGGUUUUACUCUGAAGCCUGAACAUUCUUCUAACAGUUUAUUAAAAAUGAAUGAUGUUGUUAUACUUCCCCAACUGAGUAGAGCUGGCUGAAGCUUGAAAGGAGGUUCAGUCUAGAUGCACACCCAUAUGUUCGGAUGCAUAUCUGAACCUUGUCUGAACUGUCCACACUGCUUGUACUGGAAAAACUAUGCUAUAAGCAUGAUGAGAAUAGGCUAUCAUGCAAGAUGUUUAGCAUACAUUUGGGACAGAAAUAUUGCAAAACCAGCCUAUGUAGUCCUGCUGUCUUCAGUCUUCAUCUUGAGUGAAAUUAUUAAAUACAGAGGUACAGAAAAUAAAAAUAGCGAGUGAGUGAAGGGAAGUUAAUCUCUGUUUUUCCAAUCCCAAUAAAAGUUAGAUUAGGGUUUAAGUUUAGGCUUUGAUUCAAAUUUUAGUGGUGGUGGUGAUCAAGGAAAGAAUGUUUUUGUUUUAGCUGAAUUGGUUCAUCCAUCCUUGACAUGCUUAUGGUUAAGUGUGUGUCCACUUCUAUGAUGCAAUGUAAAAAAAAGUCUGUACUUCUUCUUUAAGAGCUAUCCCUUCUGAGAAAAUUAGGGCUGACUAUAAUAGCCUGUCUCUAUUGUAUUCAAGAGAAUGUGGCAUAAAACCAGUAGGAAGAGAGAGGAUUUUUCCAAAAAUGUGCUUCUGUGGUGAGUCUUGCUGCUCAUUGUCAUCAAAUGCAGGUGUAUCAUCUAUGUCUGCUGCCUGGGUAUGUUUCUGAUUGUUAAUUAAACAAAUAUAUUAGUAAAAUACAAAUACUGGGUGACACUGAAUUUUAGCCAAGAGUUCUAUGCUUCCUGUGCACACUGGGGAUUUCUUUUCUAGUACUCCUUAUUCAGAUUAGUUUAUUUCUUAGUGGCAUCAUAAUCAGGUGGAAUUAUUUCUAUUUUUUUUCCCAUUAUAAAAGUUUCAGUGUCAAUUAAUAAGUGGUCAGGAAAACAAAGACCGUGUUUAUGGAACAAAAUCCUCCCUUUUUUGUUGAAUGGUAAAUUAAUGAUAAUUAGUAAUUGUAAUUAAUGGUAAUGGUAAUUAAUGGUAAAUUAAUUUAGGGAUCUAGCUAAAAAACUGUAGCUAAAAAUCCAGACUCCACUCCGGCCUGAGUGAUUUUGAGAGAUGCACAGUGGACAGGUGGGGAGAAAUUUCCCUCUCAGGCCACAGUGUAACUUUGGCAUUACUCCAUGAAUCUACGUCAGCCCAGUUAGUGACAUUGCCUAUGAGAGGCACUCACACUGCAUCCCCAGUCAGAUCCAGUUCUCCUGGCCUCACCCUGUUCUCAGACUGCCCAUGCUCUGUCCCCUCCCACUCCCUUCAUGCUGUUGCACAGACAGUUUCUUGCUCACAUCCAGCUUGUCUUGAACAGCAGAAUGAUUCCACAGCACAGACGCCCUUGGCAGUUGUAGAGGAGAGGCCUGGAUUUACACAUUAACAUACUAACGACUAAAUUCAGUCCUGAGUUAAAGAUCCAUGAUGCUUCACUGAAACCACUGGGUAGCAUGAAAUGACUAUCAGAGCCAAAUUUUCCCUAACAAUCUGAGUUACACAUGCAUACACUUUGAUCUUCUCAAAAAGCAUGUAAGUAAGAACUGACCUUUCUAUGUCAGUUAUGAAAAAGCAUAUUGGCUGGGUUUAGAGAGAUGUACAAACUAGAAAGCUGAACAUAGACAAAUGUGCAUUUUUUCCUAAGAACACAUUUACAGCUGGAAUUCUGCACAGCUACACAGUUAGAGGAAGUAGAUGCAAUUAUAGUGUUCAAUGGCAAUAUCAGUUAAGCUACUUCCUAACGCAUAAUGAGAUGUGAGGCCAUUGAUUUUAGUAGUCCCCAAAACAUUAUUUCCAUUGAAAUGCCUGCUCUUGAAAAGUUGCAGUUCUUCAUGUAUAUGGUGCACAAAUGACAGAGAGUUGUGUUGUGGCUCCUUUAAACUGUAUUAAAGUGUCUGUAAAAUAGGCACAAUGGCCCUCCACUCUUAGGAGUACCCCUGGCAUAUGGGGUCUCUCAACCAGCCAUAGAACCAGUUUAGCCACCUCUAUGCUUUCUGCAGGCAGGGCAUUUCUGUGCCCCAGCUAUUCUCUGGUAGUGCCAUGGCCCACAGGAAGAUCUUAACCGCUGGAGCUCUAGCUAAGGCAGCCUUCAGUAAGGCUAUGUCUACACUACAACCUAUGUCAGCAUAACUUAUGUCACUCAGGGGUGUGAAUAAACCACCCCCCUGAGCAACAUAAGUUACACUGACAUGAGCACUCGUGUGCACAGCACUAUGUCCGCAAGAGAGCUUAUGCUCCUCACAGAGAUGCUUUUUUUAUGCUGACGGGAGAGCCGGGCCGGCUCUAUGUUUUUUUCUCCCCCAAGCACGGCAGUCAGGGAGCAUUUGGCGAUGUUUCUGCAGGAGGUCUGCUGGUCACGCUGAUUCAGCAGCGGUUCUGCAGGUGAUCUAACGGUCCUGCGCGUUCGACAUACCCACUGCCGAAUUGCCGCUGAAGCUGUGGGACCGGCGGACCUUCUGCAGAAAUGCCGCUGAAGGCUCCUUGACUGCCGCCCUCAUGACGACCGGCAUGCCUCCCCUCCGGCUUGCCGCCCCAGGCAUGCGCUUGCUGCGCUGGUGCCUGGAGCCACCCCUGGGGAGAGCUCUCUCCCAUUGGCAUAGAGCAUCUUCAUCAGAUGAACUGCAGCGGUGCAGCUAUAUUACCGCUGCAGUGCACUACAUAUAGACAGACCCUAAAACUUGCUCAGUAGAACUUAAUCAGCAAAUCUGAGCAGUGAAUGCUGAAGUGACCCCCAACAGCUCCAGGAUAGGGGAGGUGCAAGCUGCCCUUUCCUUCAUUGUAUUUGUUUGUGGCUUCUUAGAGGUGUAUGGAUACUGGAGAGGGCAAAAGUGGUUAAUGGUAUCUGACCUGCUUUAUGGUGAUAGUGAAAAACUCAGGGCUGCCCAGAGGAUUCAGGGAGCCUGGGGCAAAGCAAUUUUGGGGGCGCCUUCCAUAAA